rnacentral:lncRNA from 1 species
CAGCUGCUGAGUGACUAAGGGACAGGUAGCGUAUAAUGUGUGGAUACACCAGAUAAAGGGAUGAUUCACUUCCGUGGAGGAUGGAGUGGGAUGGCAUGAGAUUUCAUCACACUAUGCAGAAUGGCAUGCAAUUUAAACUUAUAAAUUGUUUAUUUAAUAUUUUCAGACUGCAGUUGACCACAGUAAAAAGGCAGAUUGGAAUAGGGAAAAUGUUCUAAUAUGAAGAUACCUGAAUUUUCAUCUUGGUUCCAGAACUCACAAAGUGUGUAGACCUAAGGCUCAAACACAUACCAUACCAUGAACAGCCCACUCCUCUCAAAGGGAGAAUCAGCACAUUAGAGGCCAGUGGCCCAAGAUGGGGAAGAGCAUGGUGUCGGGCCCCAGAGAGUGACCGGGUCACGGAGGAAGAGAACACUGUAGAAGGACCUGGAUCCUCCCCUUGGGAGCCAGUCUCCUCCGUUUCCAGAAAUAACUUGUGCGCCUCCGGUAAAGCCACUGUGCACAGGAGAAACAGGAAUAUGAAGACCCAUAAAAAUGUUCCAGAUUUUGCUGGAAGCCAAAGCAGCCCUGGUUUAAAUCUGCUAUAGAGAUCAGAUAUUAAAAUUGGGCCUUAGAUGGAUGUCUUCUUCUCGGAUGAAACAGGCAUCUCCUGGAGCCUUUGGCAGAAACUGAUAUGUAGGCAUCAAGUCCUUCAAAGGAGUCCCCAACAGGAUCUGCAGUGCAUAAACCUGUCGGACUGAAUCUAUGUCCAUUUCUCCAUUUCCUCCAUCAGGGUCCUGACCAAUAAAUC